rnacentral:rRNA from 1 species
AGAGUUUGAUCAUGGCUCAGAUUGAACGCUGGCGGCAGGCCUAACACAUGCAAGUCGAACGGUAGCACAGAGGAGCUUGCUCCUUGGGUGACGAGUGGCGGACGGGUGAGUAAUGUCUGGGAAACUGCCCGAUGGAGGGGGAUAACUACUGGAAACGGUAGCUAAUACCGCAUAAUCUCUAAGGAGCAAAGCAGGGGAACUUCGGUCCUUGCGCUAUCGGAUGAACCCAUAUGGGAUUAGCUAGUUGGUGAGGUAAUGGCUCACCAAGGCGACGAUCCCUAGCUGGUCUGAGAGGAUGACCAGCCACACUGGAACUGAGACACGGUCCAGACUCCUACGGGAGGCAGCAGUGGGGAAUAUUGCACAAUGGGCGCAAGCCUGAUGCAGCCAUGCCGCGUGUAUGAAGAAGGCCUUCGGGUUGUAAAGUACUUUCAGCGAGGAGGAAGGUGUUGUGGUUAAUAACCGCAGCAAUUGACGUUACUCGCAGAAGAAGCACCGGCUAACUCCGUGCCAGCCGCCGCGGUAAUAC